rnacentral:rRNA from 1 species
AAUAGAUACCCUGGUAGUCCACGACCGUAAACGAUGAGUGCUAAGUGUUGGGGGUUUCCGCCCCUCAGUGCUGCAGCUAACGCAUUAAGCACUCCGCCUGGGGAGUACGGUCGCAAGACCGAAACUCAAAGGAAUUGACGGGGGCCCGCACAAGCGGUGGAGCAUGUGGUUUAAUUCGAAGCAACGCGAAGAACCUUACCAGGUCUUGACAUCCCGGUGACCACUAUGGAGACAUAGUUUCCCCUUCGGGGGCAACGGUGACAGGUGGUGCAUGGUUGUCGUCAGCUCGUGUCGUGAGAUGUUGGGUUAAGUCCCGCAACGAGCGCAACCCUUAUUCUUAGUUGCCAUCAUUCAGUUGGGCACUCUAAGGAGACUGCCGGUGAUAAACCGGAGGAAGGUGGGGAUGACGUCAAAUCAUCAUGCCCCUUAUGACCUGGGCUACACACGUGCUACAAUGGACGGUACAAACGGUUGCCAACCCGCGAGGGGGAGCUAAUCCGAUAAAACCGUUCUCAGUUCGGAUUGUAGGCUGCAACUCGCCUACA